rnacentral:rRNA from 1 species
AGAGUGAACGCUGGCGGUAGGCCUAACACAUGCAAGUCGAACGGCAGCACAGUAGGAGCUUGCUCUUACGGGUGGCGAGUGGCGGACGGGUGAGGAAUACAUCGGAAUCUACCUUUUGGUGGGGGAUAACGUAGGGAAACUUACGCUAAUACCGCAUACGCCCUUCGGGGAAAGCCGGGACCAGCAAUGGCCUGGCGCUGAUAGAUGAGCCGAUGUCGGAUUAGCUAGUUGGUGAGGUAAUGGCUCACCAAGGCGACGAUCCGUAGCUGGUCUGAGAGAUGAUCAGCCACACGUGGAACUGAGACACGGUCCAGACCUCCGUACGGGAGCAGCAGGUGGGGAAUAGUUGGAACAAGUGGGACGACGAAGCCUAGACUCCGAGCCAUACCCGCGGUAGGGUA